CCUACGGGAUGCAGCAGUGGGGAAUAUUGGACAAUGGGGGCAACCCUGAUCCAGCCAUGCCGCGUGUGUGAAGAAGGCCUUCGGGUUGUAAAGCACUUUCAGAUGUGAGGAAAGGUGAGUAGUUAAUACCUGCUUACUGUGACGUUAGCAUCAGAAGAAGGACCGGCUAACUCCGUGCCAGCAGCCGCGGUAAUACGGAGGGUCCGAGCGUUAAUCGGAAUUACUGGGCGUAAAGCGCGCGUAGGUGGUUUUGUCAGUCAGAUGUUAAAGCCCAGGGCUCAACCUUGGAACUGCACCUGAUACUGCAAGACUAGAGUACAAUAGAGGGGAGUGGAAUUUCCGGUGUAGCGGUGAAAUGCGUAGAGAUCGGAAGGAACACCAGUGGCGAAGGCGACUCCCUGGAUUGAUACUGACACUGAGGUGCGAAAGCGUGGGGAGCAAACAGGAUUAGAUACCCUAGUAGUC
rnacentral:rRNA from 1 species